GACGAACGCUGGCGGCGUGCUUAACACAUGCAAGUCGAACGAAGUGGCGAACGGGUGAGUAACGCGUAAUCAACCUGCCCUUCAGAGGGGGACAACAGUUGGAAACGACUGCUAAUACCGCAUACUGAAGGAGGGGAUUGCGUCUGAUUAGGUAUGUGGAGGGGUAACGGCCCACCAAGGCGAUGAUCAGGAGCCGGGCUGAGAGGCUGAACGGCACACUUUGGACUGAGACACGGCCCAGACUCCUAAGGGAGGCAGCAGUGGGGAAUCUUCCGCAAUGGACGAAAGUCUGACGGAGCAACGCCGCGGGAGUGAUUACGGCCUUCGGGUUGUAAAGCUCUGUUAAUCGGGACGCGGUACCGGAAUAGAAAGCCACGGCUAACUACGUGCCAGCAGCCGCGGUAAUAC
rnacentral:rRNA from 1 species